rnacentral:rRNA from 1 species
AAGCCGGGGGGACCACCCUCCAACCCUAAAUACUACCUGAUGACCGAUAGUGAAAAGUACAGUGAUGGAAAGUUGAAAAGAACCCCGGAAGGGGAGUGAAAAAGAAUCUGAAACCCUAUGUUUACAAGCUGCUAAAGCACCAUAUGAGUGCGAUAGCGUACUUUUUGUAGAACGGUCCGGCGAGUGUAUGUUGCAAGCGAGGUUAAGGUGUUAAGCACUGAAGCCGAAGGGAGACCGAGUGUGAAUAGCGCGUACAGUUUGCAGUAUACGACCCGAAACCGGGUGACCUAACCAUGGACAGGUUGAAGUGGAAGUAAAAUUCCAUGGAGGACCGAACCGACCUCCGUUGAAAAGGCGGCGGAUGAACUGUGGGUAGCGGAGAAAUUCCAAUCGAACUCGGAUAUAGCUGGUUCUCAUCGAAAUAGCUUUAGGGCUAGCCUCAGGAUAGUUUAGCGGAGGUAAAGCACUGAAUGGGCUAGGGGGCUUCACGGCUUACCGAACCCUAUCAAACUCUGAAUGCCGCAUAAAUGUUUCCUGGGAGUCAGACUGCGUGAGAUAAGUUUCGUAGUCAAAAGGGAAAGAGCCCAGACCUACAGCUAAGGUCCCUAAAUGAAUUUAAGUGGAAAAGGAUGUGCAGUUGCGUAGACAACUAGGACGUUGGCUUAGAAGCAGCCACUCAUUUAAAGAGUGCGUAAUAGCUCACUAGUCGAGUGAUUGUGCGCCGAAAAUGUAACGGGGCUAAAAUUCAUACCGAAGCUUAGGCUUUGCACACUUUGUGUGCGAGGGGUAGAUGAGCGUUGUGUAAGUCUGCGAAGCUACACCGAAAGGAGUAGUGGAGAUAUCACAAGUGAGAAUGCCGGAAUGAGUAGCGAGAAUUAUGUGAGAAUCAUAAUGGUCGAAAAUCUAAGGUUUCUUGAGGAAGGUUCGUCCGCUCAAGGUAAGCCGGGAGCUAAGGCGAGGCCGAGAGGCGUAGUCGAUGCACAUACGGUAAAGAUUCCGUAGCCACCGAAGUCGUUAAAUACAGGGACACAGGAACAUAGCCUAACCCCACCGUUGGUUGAGUGGGGCGUAAGGGAGCGAAAAUUAGUAGCGAAGUAGGUGAUUGUACACUGGCGAGAAAAGCUGUAUGAAUUGACAAGGUGCCCGUACCGCAAACCGACACAGGUAGAUGAGGAGAGAAUCCUAAGACCAGCGGGAGAAGUGUUGUUAAGGAACUCGGCAAAAUGACCCCGUAACUUCGGGAUAAGGGGAGCCUACGCGAGUAGGCCGCAGAGAAUAGUCUCAAGCGACUGUUUAGCAAAAACACAGGUCUAUGCUAAAUCGAAAGAUGAUGUAUAUGGGCUGACGCCUGCCCGGUGCUGGAAGGUUAAGGGGAAGUGUUAGAGCAAUCGAAGCACUGAACUUAAGCCCCAGUAAACGGCGGCCGUAACUAUAACGGUCCUAAGGUAGCGAAAUUCCUUGUCAGGUAAGUUCUGACCCGCACGAAUGGCGUAACGACUUGAGAGCUGUCUCAACAACAUACCCGGCGAAAUUGAAGUACUGGUAAAGAUGCCAGUUACCCGUGAUAAGACGGAAAGACCCCAUGGAGCUUUACUGUAACUUGAUAUUGAAUUUUUGUAUUACAUGUACAGGAUAGGUGGGAGACAGAGAACUAAUGCCGCCAGGUGUUAGGGAGUCGAUGUUGGGAUACCACUCUUGUAAUAUGAAGGUUCUAACCUGCACCCGUGAAUCCGGGUGGGGGACACUGUCAGGUGGACAGUUUGACUGGGGCGGUCGCCUCCUAAAAGGUAACGGAGGCGUUCAAAGGUUGGUUCAGCACGGACGGAAAUCGUGCAACGAGUGCAAACGCAUAAACCAGCCUAACUGCGAGACCGACAAGUCGAGCAGUAACGAAAGUUGGAGUUAGU